AUUGAACGCUGGCGGCAUGCUUUACACAUGCAAGUCGGACGAGUGGCGGACGGGUGAGUAAUGUCUGGGAAACUGCCUGAUGGAGGGGGAUAACUACUGGAAACGGUAGCUAAUACCGCAUACCAUCGGAUGUGCCCAGAUGGGAUUAGCUAGUAGGUGGGGUAAAGGCUCACCUAGGCGACGAUCCCUAGCUGGUCUGAGAGGAUGGCCAGCCACACUGGACCGUAGACACGGUCCAGACUCCGACGGGAGGCAGCAGUGGGGAAUAUUGCACAAUGGGCGCAAGCCUGAUGCAGCCAUGCCGCGUGUAUGAAGAAGGCCUUCGGGUUGUAAAGUACUUUCAGCGGGGAGGCGUUACCCGCAGAAGAAGCACCGGCUAACUCCGUGCCAGCAGCCGCGGUAAUUC
rnacentral:rRNA from 1 species